rnacentral:rRNA from 1 species
CCUACGGGAGGCAGCAGUGGGGAAUAUUGCACAAUGGGCGGAAGCCUGAUGCAGCGACGCCGCGUGAGGGAUGACGGCCUUCGGGUUGUAAACCUCUUUCAGUAGGGAAGAAGCGUAAGUGACGGUACCUGCAGAAGAAGCGCCGGCUAACUACGUGCCAGCAGCCGCGGUAAUACGUAGGGCGCAAGCGUUAUCCGGAAUUAUUGGGCGUAAAGAGCUCGUAGGCGGUUUGUCGCGUCUGCCGUGAAAGUCCGGGGCUCAACUCCGGAUCUGCGGUGGGUACGGGCAGACUAGAGUGAUGUAGGGGAGACUGGAAUUCCUGGUGUAGCGGUGAAAUGCGCAGAUAUCAGGAGGAACACCGAUGGCGAAGGCAGGUCUCUGGGCAUUAACUGACGCUGAGGAGCGAAAGCAUGGGGAGCGAACAGGAUUAGAUACCCUGGUAGUCCAUGCCGUAAACGUUGGGCACUAGGUGUGGGGGACAUUCCACGUUUCCGCGCCGUAGCUACGCAUUAAGUGCCCCGCCGUGGGGAGGUACGGCCGCGAGGACGUAAACGUAACUAAUAGUUAGUUAGUACGGCGUUGAGACGNGCCGACGGACGACGACGAGGGAGGAGG